CGUCGUUCACCCAUCUCAUUAGUGUCGCCUCAUCAUAAGUCUAUCAUAAAACCUUCUCCGUCUAAUGUUCCUCCCAUUUGGAAAAAUAAUUGUAAAGGUCGUGAUAGUCCAAAACCUUCUUCUCCAUGUAGAAAGCAUAUUGACAAGCAUCCUUUGGUUUCAUUGGCUCCACGUCCUCCCGUUAAGUCCCUUUUAUGACCUCCCCUUUCUAAUGGUUCUCCAAUCUUGGGAAAUAAGGGUAGAAUUUCUGAAACUCCAAGGUCUUCUUCUCACUCGCUGUGCAUUAGUUGUAAGGUCUUUGGCCACAUUUCUUCCAAAUGUCUUAAUCGAACCUUAGUCAUGAAAGAACGAGAGAAUGUAAUAGAUGAGCAGUUAGAAGAUCUAGUUUGUGAACCUAAACUUGAAGAUUUUGAUGACUUGGAUGAUAGUGAGGACACUUCCUUAGGUGGAAUCCAGACUCUUCCCGAGAUUUUAGAUAAUAUAUCCCUUAUCUCCGACAGUUCUCGAUCACAUGUUAUAUGUCAUACCCUUACCCAAGUUAAAGAGCUUGAUGAUGUCACUAGUCACCCUUGGAGAAUCCAGUCGCCUGUGGUUAGCACUACAUCGAAAUUCUCCACUACUGACUAACCUCAAACUGAUGGUCAAAACAAAAUUGCUAACCAAAAUCUUGUCAAUUUAUUACAGUCUCUAGUCCGAAAAAAUCUUGGGAAUUGGGACUUGAUCCCACCAACCGUUCAAGUUGCAUAUAACAAUCCUGUGAAUUGGUCUUUAGGUCUAAAUCCCUUUGAAGUCAACCAUGGUUGUGAAUUUAGGAAACCUUUAGACCUUAUUCACAUGCACC
rnacentral:lncRNA from 1 species